rnacentral:rRNA from 1 species
UACGAAGGGUGCAAACGUUGCUCGGAAUUAUUGGGCGUAAAGCGUACGCAGGCGGCUUUGCAAGACAGGUGUGAAAUCCCCGGGCCUAACCUGGGAACUGCAUUUGUGACUGCAUAGCUAGAGUUUGUCAGAGGGGGGUGGAAUUCCACGUGUAGCAGUGAAAUGCGUAGAUAUGUGGAGGAACACCGAUGGCGAAGGCAGCCCCCUGGGAUGUGACUGACGCUCAUGUACGAAAGCGUGGGGAGCAAACAGG